rnacentral:misc_RNA from 1 species
AAGUCGUAACAAGGUCUCCGUUGGUGAACCAGCGGAGGGAUCAUUACCGAGUUAUACAACUCAUCAACCCCUGUGAACUUACCUAUAACGUUGCUUCGGCGGGAACAGACGGCCCCGUAAAACGGGCCGCCCCCGCCAGAGGACCCCUAACUCUGUCUUUAUAAUGUUUUUCUGAGUAAACAAGCAAAUAAAUUAAAACUUUCAACAACGGAUCUCUUGGCUCUG